rnacentral:lncRNA from 10 species
ACAUUGCCAGAAAACAGGAGGAAGAGCAGGUCUGGAGUAAGGCUGGGGGACUCAAGCGCCAAUGUGAAGCUGAAGAGCGUCCUGGAGACAGGGGGCGGUGAGACGGAGUCUGCCCAGGCCACACCAGUGGCCGGGGUUUGGACCUGGGCCUGGGGAGGGUCGCUGUUUGAGAGGAGGACGCAGCUUUAUAAAAUGACUCCGCACUGUACUAGGCACUGGGGAUACAGCAGGGAGCAAAACAGUGAAAACCCCUGUCCUCAAGGAGCUUCUAUGCUGGAUUCCACAGCCACACACUCAAGUCUUUGUUGUCAGCCCUCCUCUCCCUUAGUCUGCACCCUCCCCUGAGCCUCUGCCUCAGCCUCCUCCCGGGCUCAGGAUUCCCUGAAUUUCCCUCUCCUCACACAUCCUGUCUCUAAGCUCCAGAUGCGCUUUUCCAGUCACUUGCAAUGGGGUGACCUGCAGACGCUCAAACCUGGCACAUCUGAAUAGUAACUCACAAUGCCCAACCCCUUCUCAAACCUGCUAUUCCCA